rnacentral:misc_RNA from 1 species
GAUGAAGAACGUAGCGAAAUGCGAUAAGUAGUGUGAAUUGCAGAAUUCCGUGAAUCAUCGAAUCUUUGAACGCACAUUGCGCCCGCGAGUAUUCUCGCGGGCAUGCCUGUCCGAGCGUCAUUUCAACCCUCAGGGCCCGCCUGCUUCGGCAGGCGCGGCGCUGGUGUUGGGGAUCGGCCUAACCGCCGUCCCCCAAAUACAGUGGCGGUCUCGCUGCAGCCUCCCCUGCGUAGUAGCAACACUCGCAUGCGGAGCGCGGCGCGGCCACGCCGUAAAACCCCCGACUUUCUAAACGUUGACCUCGGAUCAGGUAGGAAUACCCGCUGAACUUAAGCAUAUCAAUAAGCGGAGGA